UACAGAGGGGGCAAGCGUUGUUCGGAAUUACUGGGCGUAAAGGGCUCGUAGGCGGCCAACUAAGUCGGAUGUGAAAUCCCCAGGCUUAACCUGGGAACUGCAUCCGAUACUGGAUGGCUUGAAUCCGGGAGAGGGAUGCAGAAUUCCAGGUGUAGCGGUGAAAUGCGUAGAUAUCUGGAGGAACACCGGUGGCGAAGGCGGCAUCCUGGACCGGUAUUGACGCUGAGGCGCGAAAGCCAGGGGGAGCAAACGGG
rnacentral:rRNA from 1 species